GCCAGGCGUCGUGACUCACACCUGUAUUCCCAUCUACUUGGGAGGCUGAGGCAAGAGGAUCCCUUGAGCCCAAUAGUUCUAGGCUACAGCUCUGGGCUAUGCCAAUCAGAUGUCUACACUAAGUUCAGCAUUUAUAUGAUGACGUCCCAGAAGCAGGAGGACUACCAGGUUGCCUAAGGAGGGAUGAACCCACCCAGGUUACAAAAAAAAAACAAAAAAAAUGGAGCAGGUCACAACUCCUGUGCUGACCAGUAGUGGGAAUGCACCUAUGAAAACCACUGCACUCCAGCCUAGGCAACAUAGCAAGGCACCAUCUUCGUU
rnacentral:lncRNA from 1 species